CGUUUCCUCCACCUGUGGAUCCGUAGUUCUACACGCAGAAACCAGGAAGACGGCGAGCGGGAUCAUCUACACAGUGAAGAGCUGCAGCCAUUGGCCGCCUGCAGACUGUGAAGCUCCCUCAGCCAAGAGAGCCAAUCAGCUGACGGAGUGACAGACAGCGGAGGAGGGCGGGGCUUCUGGACACAUUUAUUAUUCUUACAAACUGUUUAUUUAAUAAAGUUUUUGAAACACCACGAGUCAAAAA